AUUUUAACUGGAAAGAACAACUGAUAGAGAAACUAUAGUUUUUCAGACUUCAAUAUCUGGCAGAUGUUAUCUCAAAAAUGAAUGAAAUUAGUCAUUUCAAGGAAGUAAUGGACAGUAUUUGUUGUCAAUGAUAACAUAUGAGCUUUUUUUUUUUUUUUUGUAAUGUUUAUUUUUGAGAGAGAGACGGAGCGUUAGCAGGGGAGGAGCAGAGAGAGAGGGAGACACAGAAUCCGAAGCAGGCUCCAGGCUCCGAGCUGUCAGCACAGAGCCCAAUGUGGGGCUCGAACCCACAACCAGCGAGAUCAUGACCUGAGCUGAAGUGGGAUGCUCAACUAACUGAGCCACCCAGGGGCCCAACAUUUAAGCUUUCAAGGUAAACUAAAAUUUUGUAAAACUUGUACAUAUCCCCUGAACUUGAGAGCUUCCCAGUUCUUAAGGAUGUUGCUAAUGAGAUUGGUGGCAUUUCCAAAUGUGAUUUUUUUUUCAUAUUGUGUAGUGAAAUGUAUCAGUUUUUAGAAGAUUUGUAUAACUCAGCAAUCCAGUAUUUUCCAGGUGACCAGUAGUGAUGUUAAAAUGUUAUGCAUGGGUUAAAAAAUCUGUCCAAGAAUAAAUUUGAGGGGCACCUAGGUGGUUCAGUCAGUUAAGCGCCCGACUCUUCGACUCUUGGUUUCUGCUCAGGUCAUGAUCUCAUGGUUCGUGAGUUCCAGCCCUGCAUCAGGCUCCACUCUGAUAGCGCAGAGCGUGCUUGGGAUUGUCUCUCUCCCUGUCUCUCUGCCCCUCCCCUGCUUGCUCUUUUUCUCUCUCUCAAAAUAAAUAAAUAAGCUUAAAAAUCUUUUUUAAAUGAAUGCAUUUGAAUGUAACAGAUACGAAUGUAACAGUAGGAGAGGCACAUUGACGUUGUUCUGGAGUCCACGUUACAGUUAACUUUUAAGAAACUACCACUUGUAUGUUUUGUUAUAAUAAAAGAAUCCCCAGGUGGGGUCUCACCCAGUCUCAGGAACCAGGAAACACAGGAAACCAAGGCUGGGCAGUGGAGCGCCCAGAUACGCAAAGCAGAAAGGCCACCUGGGCCUUUCUGGAUCAAGGAGCCGGGUUGGCCGUGCAAGUUGGGGUGGCCCUGAUGCUUGCCGUACCCACCCCCGGGGAAGGACCGUGGUGCAGGCCUAGCACAGAGGUGAGUCCCAGGAUGACCCAGGGUGGCCUCACCGCCCAAGAGCCCGGUUGCUGGGUCAGUCCGGAGCCGCCAUGCCAGCUCCGCGUCCUUUACUGGAAAGCUGACAAAUGUGUGCAUGACCCAGAAUGAGAAGGGAUCCAAUAAGAGAAACUACUCUUGGAUGCACGUGAUAACCAUAUGCAAAGAUAAACUGGAAGAAACAAAGAAAAGAUGAAGGCACAUGGUAAGGAGCCGUUGGGCUUGGGUGUAAGAUUCACCGCCCCUCUGCUGUCAGUGGAUACUUUGAUGUAAGAGGUAAAGAGGACGAGGGGAUCCAGGCUUUCAUAGAAAAUGACGACAUUCCAAUAACUCCUCCUGCAGGAAUCUAUCACUGCUUCACACAGGAUGAAAACAAGCAUGUGACAGUCACGAGGCUCUUGGUGGGAGGACCGGUGUGGACUCUAUACAACCGGCCAGUUGACUGUUUUUCACGCUCAAGGACAGUACAUAAAAUUUUUGGCACAGACAACAUAGCAGUGCUUCUGGGAACACUUCUUAAAAAGAUCCUAAACCUGAUAACUGGGCAGAAAAUCUAUCAUUUUCUCUCUGCUUUCACGUCACAGCCUUGGAAACUAGGUUAUCUUUCCUCUGCAAGAUUAUUUGAUCAGAAUGUGUUCUGGGGCACCUGGAUGGCUCAGGCCACUUCGACUCAGGUCGUGAUCUCACAGUUCAUGAGUUCGAGCCCUACAUCUGGCUCUGUGAUGACGGCUCAGAGCCUGGAGCCUGCUUCAAAUUCUGUGUCUCCCUCUCUCUCUGCCCCUCCCCUGCUUGCAUUCUCUCUCUCUCUCUCUCAAGAAUAAAUAAACAUUUAAAAAAAAAAAAAACAUGUUUUAAUGAAAGAAGCUAUAAAGCUAAUUUUUGACACAGAAGCAACUGUGGAAAUUUGGAAAAUCACAAUCAUUUUUCUCUAACCCAGUCAAGAUCAGUGGUUGAGACACGCAUUCAACUUUAACUCAAGUGGAAGUCUUAUGUCCUGAAAUGUAACUUCUUAGAUGUUCUGUUCAUGAUUCUUCAACUCUAAGCCAGAUGUAUCCAUCAAUGCCUUACCUGUCUUAUUAGAAAGUUGUGGUAUAGAAAUAUUUUUGGUCUUUGUCCCCAGUCCCUGGCACAGAACUCCUAAACCCCUUGGAAUUUGCUGAGUGACAGGAGUGUCUUUCAUUAUUUAUAAACUGGGACAGAAUCUCCUUUGCUCAGGACCUUCUGGACCUCACUCUAAUGUACCUCUUCAUCUGACUGUCCAUCGGAAUCCUUUAGAUAUCCCGUAUAAUAAGUCGAUACAUGUGAAUCGGUAUUUCCCUGAGAUUUGUGGGCUAUUCCAGCAGAUGAUGAACCCGAGGAGAGGGUCCUGGGAAUCCCCAACUUAUAGCCGAUUGGUCCAAAGUGCAAGUGUCCCAGAUCUGCAGCUGGCAUCAGUCUGACAGGAAGGAGCCCUUCCCCCGUGGGAUCUGAUGCUGUCUCCAGGCAGGUGGUGUCAGAAUUGAGUUAAAUUGUAGGACAUUCAGUCCUGCGAGGAUUGCAGAAUUGCUUGUGUGAAAACCAACUAGAAACGUGUACUAGUAGAUACCAUAACUAACUAGGUAUAGCACACUUUUUUUUUCUCCCCAAAUUGUACCUUCCGGUAUGGAGCGGCAAGGGGGGGAAGAGCUGUCAUAUUAGAGGCACGCUCUCAGCUGCUGAUGCCUCUUGCUGCUUUCUUGUUCAAUAUCAAGGACCUGCAACUGACUUAAUUAAAAAAAAAAAAAAAAAAAGCCACCUGUGUCUGGUCUCCUUCCUGGUGCAGGGAAACCUGGGGAGCCUCAGACGGCAUGCUGGCUCCUCUGACCUGUGUGUGCAUGGCCCUGCUGUCUCAUCUGUUCAUUUUUUCAAACUCAUGCUUUUGCUUUCUUCCACUCCAUUGUCUGCUUUUGGUAUUGUGGAUCCUUAAAAAUUUAAUAGUUGGGGGGCACCCGGGUGGCUCAGUCGGUUGAGCGUCCGACUUCGGCUCAGGUCAUGAUCUCUCAGCUCCAUGAGUUCGAGCCCCGCCUCAGACUGUGCUGACAGCUGAGAGCCUGGAGCCUGCUUCAGAUUCUGUGUCUCCCUCUCUCUCUGCCCCAACCCACUCACAUUCUGUCUCUGCCUCUGUCAAAAAUAAAUAAACAUUAAAAAAAAAAAAAUUAAACGGUUGGGGGAUAAGUCCCUGGAAUCUACUCCUGAAAUCAUUGUUGCACUAUAUGCUAACUAACUUGGAUGUAAAUUUUAAAAUAAAUAAAAUUAAUUUUUAAAAAAUUAAAAAUUAAAUUAAAAAUUAAACAUUUGGGGUGCCUGGCUGGCUCAGUCAGAAGAGCAUGUAAUUCUUGAUCUCUCGGUCAUGAGUUCAAGCCCCAUGUUGGGUGCAGUUUACUUAAAAAAAUAAAAUGAUUUUUUAAAAAUAAAGUAAGUUUAAAAAAUAAAAAUUAAGUGGUCUUUGAUAAUCGGAGGGGAGAGAUUAUCUGCAAUAUUCGAAAAGCUGUUAAAAUCCUCCUUCGUGGCGUGCCUGGGUGGCUCAGUCGGUUAAGCAGCCAACUUCGGCUCAGGAUAUAAUCUCAGGUUCAUUAUAAUCUCAGGGCCCUGCAUAGGGCUCUGUGCUGACAGCUCAGAGCCUGGAGCCUCCUUUGGAUUCUGUGUCUCCCUCUCUCUCUGCCCCUCCCCUGCUGGUGCUCUUUCUCUCCAAAAUAAGUAAACAUUAAAAAAAAAUUUUUUUUAAUCCUCCUUCAUUUUCCUUUUUCCAAAUAUAAAUCUGUGUGUGGCCAGAUCUCCUUCAUAUUCCUCAGGCAAAACAUUCACAACAGACUGAAUGCAGAAGCAGAGAUGAGAAUCCAGCUAUUUCCAUCAACUCAGCCAGGAAGAGAUUUGCAAAAAUGAAAACAAACAACCCUCCCCACUAAGUUUUUUUUUGGGGGGGGGAGGGGAAUGUAGUGUUUUGUCUUUUUUUUUUUUUUAGGGAGAGAGCAUGAGCAGGGGAGAGGGGGAGAGGAAGAGAGAGAGAGAGGGAAUCUCAGGCAGACUCUAUGCCCAGUGUGCAGAGUCCGACACAGGGCUCAAUCCCACGACCCUGAGAUUAUGACCUGAGCUGAAAUCCAGAGUCAGACACCCAACCGGCAGCCACCCAGGUGCCCCUGAAUAAAUAAACCUAAAAAAUAAAAAUAAAAAACUGCUUUAACUUUUAACUCAGUAAAUGUAGUUUUGUAUAACUCCUUUAUAUAAACAAAGCUUUUUGGAGUCCUCAACAACUCCCAAGAGUGUACAGGGUUCCGAAAUCCCAAAAGUUUGAGAAUUAUGCUAGAGGAAAGCACCAGUGAGGCAACAAAAACGGGCACCACAGCAUCAUACACAAAAAAUUUAACAUUGAUGCAAUAAUGCUAUGUAACAGGUAGUCCAUAUUCCUUGUUCCAAGUUGUCUCAAUUUCGUGAAAUUUAGGGAGCAAGUCAGGGAUCCAGAAUCCAAUAAAGAUCAUGCCUUGCUGUGGUUGUCAUGCCUCAUUAGUUUUCUCGAACCCAAAGCACUACCCUGUCCUUUUGUGUGUGGAUGGGUGCGAGGUGUUUCUAACGCUGCUAUUUUUGAAAAAGCCAUGUCAGCUGUUUGGUAGAAUAUCCUCACAGUUACAUUGUUUCUUUUGUCUGGUGGUCUCCUUAUCACUGGAUUCAAGUUAAACACCUUUAACAGGAAUUUUACAUAAAUUGUGUCACUCCCAGUGCAUCCCAUCAGGAAGCCCGAUGUUCAUGCGUCCUAUUUUAGUUAUGACUAACUCUAUGUUUGAGAAUUUUUUGAUUGUGAUUUUAUAUAUUUACUUUAAUAUUUAAUUUUUUGAAGUUUAUUUAUUUUGAGAGGACGAUCAUUGGGGGAGGGGCAGAGAGAGAGCCCCAAGCAGGUUCCACACCGUCAGCGCAGAGCCCAAUGUGGGGCUCGAAUUCACAAACCGUGAGAUCAUGACCCUAGCUGAAGUUGGACGCUUAACUAACUGAGGCACCCAGGUGCCCCUUCAGACUUUAUUUUUGAGAGAGAGAGUGAGAAGGGGAGAGGCAGAGAGAGAAUCCCAGUCAGGCCCCACACUCAGUGCAAAGCCGGACAUGGGACUCGAACUGAUGAACCAUGAGAUCAUGACCUAAGCUGAAAUCAAGAGUUGGACACUUAACCGACUGAGCCACCCAGGUGCCCCUAAAAAUUAAAUUUUUUUUAAGUUUAUUAUUUAUUUUUGAGAGAGAGACAGAGCAUGAGCAUGAGUAGGAGAGGGGCAGAGAGAGAGGGAGACACACAGAAUCCGAAGCAGGCUCCAGGCUCUGAGCUGUCAGCACAGAGUCCGAUGUGGGGCUUGAACUCGUGAACUGUGAGAUCAUGAACUGAGCCGUAGUCGGACGCUCAACCGACUGAGCCACCCAGGUGCCCCUGGAAAUUAAAUUCUUAACUUGACUUUACAAAGUUUAAAACUGAUAAUUUUUCUUUCUGGGUCUUACAAAUACGAGAAACUUCUAUGAUUUCUCUCUAAUUUCUUCUCUGCUAUAUUCCAUGUUGUUAUUCCAUAGUAUUUUAGUUCCAGUGAGUUUUCUAAGUUCCCUCAUGUUUUUCCAAUAGAUUCAUCAGCACGUUUUGCCAGUUUCUUAGCUCAGGGUAGUGUCUUGUAUUCCAUCAUUGGACAGGCAUCAUUGAAUGGGUCUUUCAACAAAGGUCUGUGAGUAAUUAAUAUCCUCUGUCCAACUCUGUCUCUAUCCUCCCUCCUUUUUUUUUUUUUUUAACUUUUUACCGGAGCAUAAUAUAUGUAUUCACAUAUGCAGAAAAGUACACAAACUACUGAUGUAUAACUUAUGAAUGUUCCCCCAGUCACUGCCCAGCUCAGGAAACAUAACAUCACCAACACCCCAAAAACCCUCCUCAUGCACCUCCUGGCACUGUUUUUCCCAAUUUCUCCCAAAGUAACUGCCGUCCUAAAUCCUACUAAAAUGGACUGGUUUUUGCCUAUUUUUGUUUUGAUGGAAAUGGAAUCAGACGCAUGUAUUCUGCUGUGUCUUACUUCUCAACAUUGCGUCUGUGAAACUCAUCCAUGCUUUUGCAUAAAAUAGUUAUAAUUUAUUCUGUUGCUGUCUGACACUCCAUUUUAUGAAUCUGCCACAAUUUAUGGAUCUAUUCUACUGGGGUUUUUUUUAUUUUUUUUUAAUGUUUAUUUAUUUUUCACAGAGAGAGAGAGAGAGAGAGAGAGAGACAGAGCAUGAGUGGGGGAGGGGCAGAGAGAGAGGGAGACACAGAAUCCGAAGCAGGCUCCAGGCUCCGAGCUGUCCGCACAGAGCCCGACACGGGGCUCGAACCCACAAACCGUGAGAUCAUGACCUGAGCUGAACUCGGUUGCUCAACCAACUGAGCCACCCAGGCGCCCCGGAUCUGUUCUACUGUUGAUGGACAUUAGGGGUCUUUCUGGUUUGGGGCUAUUUUAAUGAGGCAUGGUGAAUGUUCUAGCCCUUGUCUUUUGCUCCAUGUAUGUAUGAAAUUCCGUUGGACGACACUUAGGAGUGAAUUAAUGGCUCACAAGUUACUGUGUAAGUGUUCAUCUUUCACGAACACUGCCAAAUGGUCUUCUAAGGGAUUGGUUAAUUUCUUUUCCACCAACAGCCUAUGGGACCUUCAGUCUCUCAUGUCAGUCUCGCCACAUUUUCGCUAACCCUCAGCACUGUCGUUCUUUUCGAUUUUGGUCAUUCUUCUGGGUGUGCAGUGGUAACUCAUGGAAGUUUUACCUUAUGAUUUUUUUAAUGUUUAUUUAUUUAUUUUUGAGAGAGAGAGAAUGAGAGCAUGAGCAGGGGAGGGACACAGAGAGACAGAAUCUCGAGCUGGCCCCACAUUGUCAGCACAGAGCCCCAUGCAGGACUCGAACCCACAAACUGUGAGAUCAUGACCCGAGUCAAAAUCAGAAGUUGACAUUUAACAGCCUGAGUCACCCAGGCGCCCCUUGUGGUGGUUGUACAUUUCAUUUCCCUGGAAACUAAGGGGACUGCGCUCCUUAUCGUAUGCUUAAUAUUCAUUUCAUUAUCCUCUUUUAUGAAGUGCCUGUCUCAAGUCUUGUGCAUUUUUUUUUUUUCCCAUUGGAUUCUGCCCGUUUGUGACUUGUAGGAGUUUGAUAUAUAUUCUGGUAUGAGUUCCCUUUUUUGGAUACAUACGCUGUAAAAGUUUUCUCCUAUUCAGUGGCUUUACUUUAAUAUUUAUUUAUUUAUUUAUUUACUUACUUACUUACUUACUUAUUUAUUUAUUAAUAGGCUCAUGCCCAGUGUGAAGUCCAGUUCGAGGCUUGAACUCUGGAACCUGAGAUCAAAACCUGAGCUGAGAUCAAGAUACGGAUGCUUAACUGAAGUGGCUGCGCCAGCUUGCAUUCCCACCAACAAUGCAAAAGAGAUCCUCUUUCUCCGCAUCCUUGCCAACACCUGUUGUUGCCUGAGUUGUUAAUGUUGUUAUGUGUUUUUUUAAUGUUUAUUUAUUUAUUUUUGGGAGAGAGAUAGAGCGUGAGUGGAGGAGGGGCAGAGAGAGAGACGGAGAGAAUCCCAAGCAGGCCCCGAGCCAUCAGCUCAGAGCCCGACGUGGGGCUCCAACUCAUGAACCAUGAAGUCAUGACCUGAGCUGAAAUCAAGGCUGCUUAACCCACUGAGCCACCCAGGCGCCCCAAGAGGUGUUUUUAAAUAGCUGCUGAAUACUCAUCACAUGGCUCUCCCUGGCACAGGAGCUCUGGAAUCAGACAAGCGUGGUGAAUAUCCUGUCCUAAUCUCUUCCAAACUGUGUAACUUUCAACAAGCUAUUUACACGCUCCGGGCUUUAGCUCUCAUGGGAAGCGUCCAGAUCUUGAACUGAGUUGGGUAUGUAGUCAGAUCUCAAUUCCUAAUUAAUAAUUGAUUGACUUAGAAGCACGCCAUCAACUGAAACAAUGGAUCAUUAACUCUAGAACAGUCUUAUUUACUCAUUAAAGUCUCCUAAAGACCUGGGAUGGGCCGAAUUUUGUAAGUCCACUGUUUUAUUGGAUGUGACUAAGGACAGUACAAGUACAUCAGAAUCAAUGCCCCGUGGUAGCUGGAAACUAAAGCCAGCAUUGGCAGCUGUGAAGGAAUGGUAACUGAGCCACUUAAUCGCAUCCCCUUAUCGGCUCAUUGGAUUAUUGUUCUUUAUCUGUAGAGCUAGUGGUUGUGAGAGGGUUCCAACUUUUCUUGGCUGACGGCCUCAGGAGAGAGUUGCUUAACUUCUCUGUGGCUCACUUUGUCAUCUAUAAAAUGGGUCAAGUCAAAGUUCAAUACCAACCUGGCAGUGUUGUCAGAGUCAAGUGAACGCUUAGCUGAGGGAGGACGCAGGGAGGGCCAGGGUCCAGAGUAGCCACCAAUGGUCACACCCCUGGUGGGGGACGGGUGAGACGUGGUCCUCUGGGCCGGCUGCCCCCAAACCUGGAGUCCAGAAACCCAAAAGGCUGGACUGUGUUUAUCUGGCGCAGAUCGAGAAUGUUGGAACUGAUGAGAAGACAGAAUUCCUGACCCCGGUUUGUCCGGCGAGGUGCUGGCAGAUGUUACUGACGACCAGCGCUAUGGCGGGGGCAGUGUGUGUACGUGCCCUGAUUUCCUGACGUAAAUACUUCAGCCCCGGCGAAUUUCAAAUUCUAGAUAUGACAGCACUGAUCAGAGUCGAAUAGCGCCCCUGUUACGUGGUGUUUCUAUCAUACAGAUGUAACAGGUGUGAAUGUCCUCAAGGGAAUGGAUACUAGUAAAAUAUAGGAAAUUAAAUAAGAAGCUAUGAGUUUUGGGUUUUUUAACAUAAUUUUUAAAAACUUUUAUGUUUAUUUUUUGAGAGAGAGAGUGGGAGAGAGAGAGAGAGAGCUAGGGAGGGCCAGAGAGAGGGAGAGAGAAAUCCCAAGCAGGCUUCGUGCUGUCAGCGCAGAGCCCUGAUGCGGGGCUCAAACGCACAAACUGUGAGAUCGUGACCGAAGCCGCAACCAAGCGUUCGGACGUUUAACUAAGCCACCCACAUGCUUCCUAAAUACAAUUUAUUUAAUUAUAAGUUUAUAUAACUUCUUUUUUUUUAAUGAAGGUCUUUUUUUUGAGAGAGAGAGAGAAAGCACGAGUGAACACGAGGCAGAGAGAGAGAGAGAGAGAGAAUCUCAUGAAGGGCAAAGAGAGAGAGAAGGAAAGAGAGAGAAUCCCACUCUGAAAGCAUGGAGCCUGAAUCGGGGCUCGAGCUCACCCGAUGUGGGCUCGAACUCACGAACCUUGAAAUUGUCACCUGAGCUGAAGUUGGAUGCUUAACUAACUGAACCACCCAGGCACACCUAUAACUUAAUUUUAUUUAAGUAUAUUUGAGGAAUCUCUACACCCAACAUGGGACUCGAACCCAUGACCCUGAGAUCAAGAGUCACUCACUCCUCCAACUGAACCAGCCAGGCGCCCCUGUGUAACUUAGUUUUUAACGAUGGCUGUGUUUAACAACUGGCUUGCAAAAUUCAUGCACAUUUAAUAAUUGACUCUCAUGGGUCCGUGUAAACUGGGUCCAGCCACCACUGAACUAGUCCCCAGGGCUGGAGCCUAUAAUUAUGGACAAAAAACAUUCAUGUUUAGUUCAGAACCUGGCCCUGGACAAGUGUUAAGAACAGGCUCAGUGUACUUCUUAAAUACCAGUGCUCGUUCCCCUGGGAACUGUGUUCCCUCCCCCACGACACAGCCCAGUAGGUGACCUUUUGCUUCCCUGGCUCUAAGCUGUUUAUCAUCCCAAACCACCAGCAGCCCCCACACACACUUCAGGACAGACCGUCUCAGGAAUGCCUGGGACGUGCACAUAGGGCGCGAUGGCAGCCAUUCACUGAACCCAGGUCAGGUGCUCACAAGGUCAUCCGGACGGCCGGAAGGAAAACAACAGCCUGCUCCUCGGCUCUCAGCCCAUGACGUGGGUUAGGAAUGCCCUCGACAAAUAGACCUCACCAGUCCACUGCCCUUGUACGUUCCAAAACCUGGAUCUAAACUACCAUUUCUCAUUUGACUCCUCUUCUCUCCAUGGUGCCUCUACCCCUGCAAGUCACAGAGACCGUUGCAAUGUUGACAAGUAUGUGCUCUGGGAGCGUGCUCUUGAAUUAUCCCACGUAAGCCUCAUAGCAACGCUAUGAAGUAGGUACUAUUCUUGUCCCAAGUCCUGUGGAUGAGAAGUCAGAGCUUGGGGUGGUGUACUAACUUGCCCACGGUAGUCUGGAAAGGACCCGGUAUUUUUCCUUUCUCCCUCAAAUGUCUUCCUUCACAUGGUAUUCUCCUCAGUUCAUGCACGAUUAUUUUACAUUCUUUCACAUACUGCUUACUACUAAGGAUUCUCAGGCGUAGAGACAGUAGUAGGAGCCAUGGGUCUGAAAAGAUUGCUCAGGAGAAGGUGAGCUGCGGAAUGGGGUGGGGGUGGGACCGUGAUGAGACCCUGGGGGCCACCAACACUUAAGAGCCUCUGAGGAAGAGAGGACCCAGAAGGGCUGUCACAGAUGUCCAGGCGAUGGUCCGCGGUGGGGACCUACAAAGUGGAGGAGUAAAUAGGCACCAAAAUUCUGGAUUUAGUGAUCCAGAAACCAUCGCUGAUCUUGGCAGGGGACUUUUCUUUAUUUCCAUACCAGACGGUGAAGAGGCGGGACCAGGACAAGCAAGAACCCAAUCACAGUGGGUUGAAGAAAGGCUGGGAGGUAGCAGUGAGGUCAGCCAGUAUAGACCUCUCUUCCAGCAAGAACGCACGAGAGAGAUGCUAGAUGGAAGGAGGGCUUUUGGGGUGUGGCUUUUAGUUUGUUGUUUUUUAAUGUUUAUUUAUUUUUGAGAGCAAGAGAGAGCAGGGGAGGGGCAGAGAAUCCCAAGCAGGUUCUGCACUGUCAGCGCAGAACCCGACACGGGGCUCAAACCCACAAACUGCGAGAUCAUGACCUGAGCCCAAGUCAGACGCUUAACCGACUGAGCCACCCAGGCGCCCCUGUCGUUGUU